rnacentral:rRNA from 1 species
UACGAAGGGGGCUAGCGUUGCUCGGAAUCACUGGGCGUAAAGCGCACGUAGGCGGACUCUUAAGUCGGUGGUGAAAUCCUGGAGCUCAACUCCAGAACUGCCUUCGAUACUGAGAGUCUUGAGUUCGGGAGAGGUGAGUGGAACUGCGAGCGUAGAGGUGAAAUUCGUAGAUAUUCGCAAGAACACCAGUGGCGAAGGCGGCUCACUGGCCCGGUAUGACGCUGAGGUGCGAAAGCGUGGGGAGCAAACAGGG